AUUGAUCAUAGCAAACUUUUAUAAAUAAAUACAAACAGACAGACAGAAUUUUCAAAAAUUAAUCAAAAUGUGUUGUGAAGAUUGUGAAGAUCUUAAAUUAAUUUCCAUUUUUUUCGGAACAUGGAACAUUUUCUUUGGCCUGAUAUUUUCUAUUUAUGCUCUAGUCCGUGAGGCGAACUUCAGUACCUGGUGUGGCAUCUUGGUUAUUGUUCUGCUAUUAACAUCCAUACUACACACUCUGAGCGGGCUAUUGACUUUGCUUGGAAUAUUGAUCGACAACAGAGUAGCGUUCUUGCUGGGAAUAAUUCUGAGCAAUUUUAUGCCAGUCAUGCUGUUGUUUACCAUAUUUAUACCAGUUUUGCACCUGGUUUGUGUGAUUAAAGCGAUCAAAUACUACAAAUCGAAGUGGGUUUCCAGCCCACAAAUUUAGUUCUAGCUCCCUUCAAGUGUUUUGAAUUCAUGGACUACUCGAUGACAAAUCUCAGAACGAAACUGACGCUAAGUUAUCUGUAUAAAUAAAGAGAAACAAUGCCAAUCCA